GACGAACGCUGGCGGCGUGCUUAGCACAUGCAAGUCGAACGGAAAGGCCUGCUUUUGUGGGGUGCUCGAGUGGCGAACGGGUGAGUAACACGUGAGUAACCUGCCCUUGACUUUGGGAUAACUUCAGGAAACUGGGGCUAAUACCGGAUAGGAGCUCCUGCUGCAUGGUGGGGGUUGGAAAGUUUCGGCGGUUGGGGAUGGACUCGCGGCUUAUCAGCUUGUUGGUGGGGUAGUGGCUUACCAAGGCUUUGACGGGUAGCCGGCCUGAGAGGGUGACCGGCCACAUUGGGACUGAGAUACGGCCCAGACUCCUACGGGAGGCAGCAGUGGGGAAUAUUGCACAAUGGGCGGAAGCCUGAUGCAGCAACGCCGCGUGCGGGAUGACGGCCUUCGGGUUGUAAACCGCUUUCGCCUGUGACGAAGCGUGAGUGACGGUAAUGGGUAAAGAAGCACCGGCUAACUACGUG
rnacentral:rRNA from 1 species